GCCUGGGUGGCUCAGUUGGUUAAGCAUCUGACUUCAGCUCAGGUCACAACCUCGCAGUCCGUGGGUUCGAGCCCCGCGUCGGGCU
rnacentral:tRNA from 1 species